GAUGAACGCUGGCGGCGUGCCUAAUACAUGCAAGUCGAGCGAACGGACGAGAAGCUUGCUUCUCUGAUGUUAGCGGCGGACGGGUGAGUAACACGUGGAUAACCUACCUAUAAGACUGGGAUAACUUCGGGAAACCGGAGCUAAUACCGGAUAAUAUUUUGAACCGCAUGGUUCAAAAGUUAAAGACGGUCUUGCUGUCACUUAUAGAUGGUUCCGCGCUGCAUUAGCUAGUUGGUAAGGUAACGGCUUACCAAGGCAACGAUGCAUAGCCGACCUGAGAGGGUGAUCGGCCACACUGGAAGUGAGACACGGUCCAGACUCCUACGGGAGGCAGCAGUAGGGAAUCUUCCGCAAUGGGCGAAGGCCUGACGGAGCAACGCCGCGUGAGUGAUGAAGGUCUUCGGAUCGUAAAACUCUGUUAUUAGGGAAGAACAUAUGUGUAAGUAACUGUGCACAUCUUGACGGUACCUAAUCAGAAAGCCACGGCUAACUACGUG
rnacentral:rRNA from 1 species